rnacentral:rRNA from 1 species
UACGAAGGGGGGCUAGCGUUGUUCGGAAUCACUGGGCGUAAAGCGUAUGUAGGCGGAUUGUUAAGUCAGGGGUGAAAUCCCGAGGCUCAACCUCGGAACUGCCUUUGAUACUGGCUGUCUUGAGUCCGGGAGAGGUGAGUGGAACUCCUGGUGUAGCGGUGAAAUGCGCAGAUAUCAGGAAGAACACCCGUGGCUAAGGCGGCUCUCUAGUACGGUACUGACGCUGAGACGCGAAAGCGUGGGGAGCGAACAGG